GAUGAAGAACGCAGCGAAAUGCGAUAAGUAAUGCGAAUUGCAGAAUUUCCGUGAGUCAUCGAAUCUUUGAACGCACAUUGCGCCCACUGGUAUUCCGGUGGGCAUGCCUGUUCGAGCGUCAUUAUCCUCCCUCAAACCCCGGGUUUGGUGUUGGACCCAAGUUGUGUGAACAACUGGUCUCAAAGACAAAGACGGCGUCCGUGGGACCUCGGUGCAACGAGCUUUUAGGAGCACGCAUCGAGUUGCAAGGACCUUCCGGGCCGGUCUCCUUUACCAUUUUACAAGGUUGACCUCGGAUCAGGUAGGAAUACCCGCUGAACUUAAGCAUAUCAAUAAGCGGAGGA
rnacentral:misc_RNA from 1 species